rnacentral:rRNA from 1 species
AGCUCCAAUAGCGUAUAUUAAAGUUGUUGCAGUUAAAAAGCUCGUAGUCGAAUUUCGGAGGAGAGCGCCUGGUCUCGGUUCUGCCGUGUACUGGGCCGCUCGAAUCUUUCUUCUGGGGAAGCGGGGUGCCCUUCACUGGGUGCCCCGGGGAACCAGGACGAUUACCUUGAGAAAAAUAGAGUGUUCAAAGCAGGCUUUUGCUUGAAUACGUUAGCAUGGAAUAAUAAGAUAGGACUUUGGUUCUAUUUUGUUGGUUUUAAGGACCAAUGUCAUGGUGAAUAGGGACAGUUGGGGGCAUUCGUAUUUCGGAGCUAGAGGUGAAAUUCUUGGAUUUCCGGAAGACGAACUACUGCGAAAGCAUUUGCCAAGGAUGUUUUCA